UGAUAUGAACUGACCUUAUACAAAGCAUUGCAGAGCAGAAAGGCUGUAGGGUCAGGUGUAUCCUUUCUCAAAGUGGGCGGGUUUAGAGGAUGAGAGUGGAUGGUCUGAUGGCGAUAGAAGAGGAACUGGAGCAGGAGGGGAUCCUGGGUGCUAGAGAAAAAAAAACAGCCUCUGUUAGAUCUUUCCAAACAUUUAACUCUGGAAACGGCUGUGACUCUGUGACCAUCUCUACUUGAUGUGACUUCAUCUCCCGUCUGUCUGUCUGUCAUUAUCACAGUAGGGUUUGUCUGACCUGACUGCAUGACAUCAAAAUGCAUAUUUAUUACAAUUCACAUGAAAGUAUAUUUUUUAGUGCAAAAUUGUAAAGUGACUCAUCACAUGCACCAUAUUCCUGUGUGAUAUACUUUAGUGCUUAUAGAUGGUUUAUACAUUAAAAAAAACAUUAUUAAAUAAACAUAACCAUGCUUUUUAUAUAAAGCCCACCUACAAUUUUUAAUACAUUUUAAUAUUUUUCACAGUAGUCACAGUGAACAUUUCCAGAUAGACUUGCCCACCAUAUAAUUAUUUUGUCUGAUUGUUCACAAAAGUUAACUGUGUGUGUAAUGUGUCAGUAUUUUUUUUUCAUUCCAUGUCCUCCAGAUUUACCUGUAAGAAAAAAAAAAAAAUCAAGACUCAAAAAAACUCAGACAAUGAACUCCGUCCCGCUUUUGUCUCCCCCACACACAGACAGCUUUUUAGAGAAAUCAAAGCUAUUCUUCAAUAACGAAGAGGCAUGAAACAACCCAUCACUUCCUUCUCCACAUCCUCUGCUCUCUAUAUACAGUACAGACAACAGAUACUGACACACACACACACACACAUAGAGUGACUGAAUGGGGCCAAUUAUCCAGCCUGUUCAAAAGGGCAGCAGUGUCCGCUUCAUACAAGUGUUUGUGUCUGUUUAUGUGUUUGUGUGAAAGAGUGUGAAUGGACUGUUUUGUGUUAACAAGUGAGAGAAAACACAAAACCACAGCUGUGCUGCAAAACUACAGACCACAAGAAUGUGACAUCUUCAGCUCCUAACCAACUCACGACAUGUUCGUUAUCUUGUUUACCUCUUAAUUGAUUCAUAGAAAUCCUGAAUUAACUAACAUUUUACCUUUUAAGGAGAGAAACACAGCCCUCAAAAUACACAAAACGUACAUGAUGAAGACCAGAGAGCAUUUUGUAAGUGUACAAUGGGUGACAUCUGUGGAAAAAUAGCUAUUUCGACUCGGCAGGAGUGGAGGGGGUCCUGACAGCAUCGGCAGAGAGAUAGAGAGAUUUGAGACCAGUAUUACAAGUUACUGUGGCUCCCCAGCAGGCAAUCAUUCUGUUUGAAAAAUAAACAAAAUGACUGACAAAACAGGCUAAAUUAAGCGUUUUACACACACAUAUAAACACAAGCUGGGCUCUAAAUUGUGGUUCUGUCAAUAGAGGUUGUUUUGUGUUGCUUGACUAUGGUUUUGAAACAAGUGCAGGACAAGUGUUUCAGAACACCAUAAAAAAGCAAACAUAAGAAAGACACAAACAGCAGCAGAGCAACAGCCCAGCACGGCGUUUCAUGAUUACAAGCUCGUUGAGAUUGACAGAAUGUUUAUAGUACGUCGAUUAAGAGAAACACGCAGACCAGAAGACGAGAGAGAGACUGCAGUUGAGCAAGAUGUUUACUCAUUUACACCUCACAUCUUCAACAAACGCCAAACCAGAAACGUCAACAAAGCAAAAUACACUAUGAGCAGGACAGAAGAGCUUGUAAAAAUGUGAGCCGAUUAUUGAUUGUAUUUUGAGUGCUGUUGGGGAAUGGAGUUGAAACUGAUAGAAAAUCUCACUCUAAAAGGAUGUAGAUGCUUUCUAGAAUGUUUAUCGUCUUGGUUUAUGAUCUCUUCCACAUCUAGUUUUAAGGUCACACAAAAGUCCAAUGAUAAUAACAAUAAUAAUAAUAAUAGUAACAUUUCACACAGUAAGUUCCAAUUAGUUAAUACACUAACAACUAACAUUAAGUAACGAGCAUUUGUUACAGUAUUUAUUAAUCUUUGUUAACAUUAAUUGUUCACUGCUAGUUUGUUUGCUAAAUGUUGAAAUUAACAUUUAACUAACAUUAAUAAAUGCCUUUAAAGUAUUUUUCAUCGUUAGUUAAUGUGGUUGUUAAUGUAGUAAAAUGGAUAGUUCACCCAAAAAUGCAAAUGAUCCCAUGAUUUACCCUCAGUCCAUCCUAGGUGUACAUGACUUUCUUCUUUCAGAUGAAUACAAUCGGAGUUAUAUUAAAAAUAAUAAUGGUUAAUAAAGGCCUUCUAAAACAAAGCGAUCUGUUUGUGUAAGUAUAAUAUCCAUAUUUAAAACGUCAUAAACCAUAAUCUCUAGCUUCUGCUAACUGUCGUACACACAUUCACAAGAGAGUGGCGUCCAGCGGAUGACGUAGGCGUUGCGUUAGA